CCAAGCGAGUGUUAUCUGUCUUUUCUCUUCUAACGUUCAAGUCUGGAACAGGUUUGUCCUGAUCUUUGUUGAAGUUUUCUCUCUCAGCCUGACUGAACAUGUCUGAUGUGGAUGAAGAGGAGGACAGACCAGAGUCUGUGGACAGGCACACAGCAGAGUCUUCAGGAUCCAGCAAGUUGUCUUUGAAGAGUGACCAGUCUAGAGAAUAUCCUCCAAACUACAGUGCUGAACCUGGACCUUCAGAUGCAAAAGAGAAGAAGAGCAGUGAUGUCUGUGAGGAGCAGCCAGAAAGAUCCAGAAGCAUCGCUGC